UGAGGUGUUCCUUAGAUCCCGAGGAUGCAAAAAAAACCCCAACCAACCGUCCCCCACCUGUCGCACCUCUCUCUCCCCUGGAUCCCCGCCGCCGCCCAGAAACCACCGACCCACCCAUCGCCGGGGACCAUCCAACGGCUGGCGCCCUCAACCCUAGGCGCCGUCGCCCCCGACCCCAGGCGUCGCCGCCCCGCCAACCCCAGGCGUCGCUGCCCCUGAAAACCCUCGGACCGGGAAUCACCGCUGGCCACCCACCCCAUCCAUCGUGACGACGCCUCCUACCGUGACGCCGCCACAAGCCUUCUACCACCACACCGAUGUCGGCAUCCUCCCGCAGCACCGCCAGUGCUUUGCCGGUAGAAGUUCGAGGCCGGAUCCGGAGGAAGUUCGAGGGAUCCUCCUGACAUUAACUACAGCAAGCCAGAGCCGCUCGCCGCCUUCGCUUGAGGAUCCUGCGGGAGAAAGCGAGAUUGACCCGCCCAACCAUUGACUCCUCCCGGGGUCUGCCACCCUGCUCCCAUGAUUCGCCGACACCCUUCACCAACACCCUUGCUCCCCGAACCAGGGGCAUUACGCAGUCAGCAGGGCCUCUAGCCAAACACACCAUGCCCCUCAACUCUCGCCUCUGCACCUUCUGCCUUGGCAUCCCUCACGCGUGACCUUCUGCAGCGCCUAUGAUUGACCUUCCUGUCAUCUCUUGCUUGAACCCCUGCACCACUGCUUCCAAAUCAGCUCUACUCAUUCAAAGCUAAAGGGCCGCCCCGAGUCCGCCCAAAGCAACCCGAGUCGUUCAACUACGCAGCCCCGGGCCGUUCAACGACAGAGCCGCUGGCCGCCCAUGAACACAUCAUCCUAGAUCCUGCUGCCCACCAUCCAGUUCAACAUCUGCUGAAUCUGACCCAUAGCUCGCCGCGAAUUCUCCAGCAACCAUGGUGGCGAGUUGUGCGUGAACCUACAUCCAAAAUUGUUGCCAACGGAGACGCCGCACUGCUUGUCGCUACCUACACCCCGUGGAAGACAGCACCCACGGCCUUGUUGUAGACCUUGCAUGUUGUUGGCAGUCGUACUCUUGGCUACCUAGACGUUCCCCUGCCUUUAGCACCCCCGGCUGCCCCGCUGGCCAACUCCAUAACCCCGCCAGAAAAUUGGCCACCAUUGCAGGUCAGCUUCUCCUGAUGGGCAAGUCCAGCUGCAAAAAUAAGAGUGCAUGGAAGCUUCUCCAGAAAAUUGGCCACCAUUACGGUUGUUUUUUGAAUCAAGAUGUUGCUUGUUUGAGAAUACAGGGAAGAAGAAGAAAAGCACGGAGAAGAUAACACAUCAGCACUUUGUGGAUAACGCGAGACAAGAUACGAAGUGAAUGUGUGCUGGAGAAAUGUAAGUCGGCCACUAGUUAGUGCAUUUUUUAUGUAAAAAGGAUUGGGUGCAUGUAGUUACUAUGUGGCCAGGUCAUUUGAGAAUAUUGUUUGUAAGCGUGCACUGUCUUUUUGCCGCUGAUUCUUAUGCUCAAAUUAUCCCCAAAUUUCUACAGUUUUUGCACACUCAUUUUACAUCUUUCCUUCUUCUCCUUUUGUGCAUGUUAUGCAACUUAGAAAUUGUCGUGUCGAGAAGUUCAUGUAUUACUACCAAGGAAUUCAUGAAA